AGGCCUAACACAUGCAAGUCGAACGGUGAAGCCAAGCUUGCUUGGUGGAUCAGUGGCGAACGGGUGAGUAACACGUGAGCAACCUGCCCUGGACUCUGGGAUAAGCGCUGGAAACGGUGUCUAAUACUGGAUAUGAGCCUCUUCCGCAUGGUGGGGGUUGGAAAGAUUUUUCGGUCUGGGAUGGGCCCGCGGCCUAUCAGCUUGUUGGUGAGGUAAUGGCUCACCAAGGCGUCGACGGGUAGCCGGCCUGAGAGGGUGACCGGCCACACUGGGACUGAGACACGGCCCAGACUCCUACGGGAGGCAGCAGUGGGGAAUAUUGCACAAUGGGCGGAAGCCUGAUGCAGCAACGCCGCGUGAGGGAUGACGGCCUUCGGGUUGUAAACCUCUUUUAGCAGGGAAGAAGCGGAAGUGACGGUA
rnacentral:rRNA from 1 species